UUCCACCAUUUUAUUUUCUUAAAAAACAUUCUUUUUCAUUAAAUUUUUUAUAAGUUAGAUUGGUGACUAUUGUUUUUUAAAUUUCUUGCAUUUUAUUCUCCGUAGGACUGAGAUAUUGGAUAACUGUCCUGAAUAAGACGAAUCGUCUGCAGAAGUGAUGAACGUGUCAAACAGGCGUUGCGUUAAACCUGCAACUCUGACCGUAAUGUUACACUCGGUGACAAAAGAUGAAGUCAUAACAGCGAUAAAUGAAACGACGGCGAGCAUUAAUUAUAUUCUCUGCGUGUUUCUCCGUCGUCGCCUCGGUUUUGAUGCCACUCCGGAUCAGAAGCGCCGUCGAUAGCAGGACUUAGUGAAAGGUGACGUCCUGUCAAAGCCCCAACGCCAGACGCUUUGUAAUGACUUUAAAACUUCGACUUCUCGUCUCCCUCAAAUGACCGCAGUCUGGUCUGCUCCUCGUCAGCUUCCUUCUGAAACCAGAACCCCGUCUGCAGCUGUUUGUGCAGCCCUUUGAUUUUCCCUUUCCUCCUCAACAAUCGGGCCAACUGGUGCCGAGUCGCCGCUACUCGUCUGCUCUGAUGUGUGACAGCUCAACCAUUCCUCUGCAGGAACGAGUCUCAGCGUUUCAGCUGGUCGGCUCGCGACGGCCAGACUUCAGAGGCGGGUAAUCGUGUUUAUUACGGGAGGUCGGAGGUCGCGCGUCGCCUAAUGGCCUCGGCCGACUCUCUGCUUGUUGAGCGGCUGUCGCACUUGUUUCCACAGAAAACAAGAAGGAGGUGAGUUUAAAAGUCAUGGCUAACAGCAUAGCUUCUGUCCAAAGCAAGAAACAAACAGAAGAAUCUCUAUUUCAGACAGAAACCUGAGCUCAGCUGUGUGAUGUUGGAUUUUUUUGUUACUUAAAGAUUUGGUAGAAAUAUUGACAACCAAACGUCUGUUUUGAAUCCUGUCCCAGAUAGCAAACUAUGGGUGAAUCAAUGUUGGAUCUAUGUUGAGACCUAACGUCGAAAUUAUACAGAAAGCGCAAGGUUGAUAAAAUGUUGAGUCAACGUUUGCUUACAUAGAUUACAUGUUUGCAAACGUAGAUUCAACAUUAAUUAAACAUUGACCUGUCAAACAUUUUAAUUAAACCAAAAUACAACGUAGAUUCAAUGGUAUCUUUUAAACACAAACUUCAAUGUUGACAAAAUGUUGUUGAAUCAACGUUGAUCCAACCAUCAGUCUUCAACCGUAACCAAAAUUCAACCUUCUUAACCCUAAUUCAACAUUGAUUUAACAUCUUUUGCUAUCUGGGUAAAGUGUGAUUUAUGGUUGAAAAGCAAACGUUGACUCAACAUUUUAUCAACCUUGCACUUUCUGUAUAAUUUCUAUGUUAGGUCUCAACAUAGAUUCAACAUUGAUUCACCCAUAGUUUGCUAUCUGGGGUAGUCCUUGAGUCCUGCAGCUCUCUUCAUGUCUGUUCCAGGUUCACAUUUAUUAGUUUCACUUCCUUUCUUCCUCUUUGCUGUGUAGAGAUUCCACGGUUAUUACCGUUUUUCAUCGAGGCUUCGUCUUCCUGUGAGAUUUCACCCAGAGAUGGAUGGAACAGAAGAAUGAAAUCGCCCAUAAUAAAGACGUAGUUUCCACGGUUAUUCCGGUUUAUCUUCACACCAUGAAUCGAGGCUUUGUCUUCCCGUGAGAUUUCACCCGGAGACGGACGGAAUAGAAGAAUGAAAUCACUCUAAAUAAACCAGUGUACUGUCAUUUAAAGUUAUUUUAAUGCUAAUUUGCAGGGACUGUUAACUUUUCUGCUCUGAUGUGUGACAGCUUAUCCCAGGAGUGUCAAAUUCAUCUUAGUUCAGGUUCCACAUUCAGCCCAGUUUGAGCUCAAAUGAUCCGGACCAGUGAAAUCACAGCAUAAUAACCUAUAAAUAACCUCAACUCUCUCAAAAGAGUACAUCCUGACAACGAUCACAUUUAAGGAAUUAUCUCUUUACAAAACCUCACGAACAACCUGAAAAAUAAAUACGUUUUUAACAACA